rnacentral:rRNA from 1 species
UCCUUAGAUGUUCUGGGCUGCACGCGUGUUACAAUCGGGAGUACAACAAGAUUGCAAAUCCUAGUGGAUGAGUGGUUCUUCGAAAUUUUCUGAAGACUGGGAUAGUUGAUUGAAAUUAUUCAACUCGAACGAGGAAUUCCUUGUAAUUGUAAUUCAUUAUAUUGUAAUGAAUACGUCCCUGCCCUUUGUACACACCGCCCGUCGCUCCUACCGAUUGAACGAUCCGGUGAAUUAUUUGGAGUAGCUCUGGAAGUUGCAGAACUUCCUAUGUCACGAAAUUUUGUAAACCUUAUCGUUUAGAGGAAGGAAAAGUCGUAACA